rnacentral:lncRNA from 1 species
CCGCGGCCGCCGCCGCCGUCGCCGCCAUUUUCCCAGAGCGAGAGGCAGUGACACUGAGCGGGCGCAGGGGGCCGAGUCGGAGACCGUGCCUGAGUUCGGGAGCGGCGACAGAGAGGGUACAGACACUCUGAGCAGCCUUGCCGUCGCCUCUGCGCUCCUGCUGACUGUCUGGGGGCCCCCUCCCCGACUCCUGGGUUGCUGGUGAAGAGGCUGCGCGCUGCUGUUUGGGGAGGGGGUGUGUGGAGCCGGGUCCUGUGUCCGCAGUGGCUGCUGUCGGGGGGUCGUCUGCUCGCGGAGGUGUGGAGAGACUACUUGAGGGUCGAGCAGAUAACGGGGUUCGGGUGUCUGGUGUGUGAACAUCACAGGUCUAUUCUGGAUAGCAGGUUUUGUGAAGACAUUUAUUCUUUCUUGGACCUCAGAUUUACCAGACAUCUCAUGGGUUUGUGGAUGCACUUAGAUGUUUGCAAUGAGCACUGUGGCUGGCAUGCCCCAGUGUUUUGGAUACCAAUGCAUAGGACUCCAUAG